CUCCACUUGCGAAUCGUUCAGAUG
rnacentral:siRNA from 1 species